rnacentral:rRNA from 1 species
CUACGGGUUGCUCCAGUGAGGAAUAUUGCACAAUGGGGGGAACCCUGAUGCAGCAACGCCGCGUGGAGGAUGACGCAUUUCGGUGUGUAAACUCCUUUUAUAUGUCAAGAAAAUGACGGUAGCAUAUGAAUAAGCACCGGCUAACUCCGUGCCAGCAGCCGCGGUAAUACGGAGGGUGCAAGCGUUACUCGGGAUCACUGGGCGUAAAGGACGCGUAGGCGGGUUGGAAAGUCAGGUGUGAAAUCCUACAGCUUAACUGUAGAACUGCACUUGAAACUUCUAAUCUAGAGUAUGGGAGGGGGAGAUGGAAUUAGUGGUGUAGGGGUAAAAUCCGUAGAUAUCACUAGGAAUACCUAAAGCGAAGGCGAUCUCCUGGAACAUUACUGACGCUAAGGCGUGAAAGCGUGGGGAGCAAAUAGGAUUAGAUACCCGCGUAGUC